rnacentral:misc_RNA from 1 species
GCCGCUUCGCCGGGCACGAUCCAUUCGAAUUCCGGCAGCUGGUGCCUGAACCAGGUGUAUUGCCGCUUGGCGUAGUGGCGGGGGGGGGGGUGGGGCGGGCGGGGGGGGGGGGNUCCAGAGAGAUCUCGCCCGCGAGAUACCGGAUCAUCGCCGGCACGCCGUGCGCCUUCAUCGCAGGCAGCAUCGGAUCGAGCUUGCGCGCCGCCAGCGCCGC